UGGAGGACUGAGAAGGUGAGGCAGCUCAGUACCGUGCUUCCUUCCACUGGUUAAGACCUCCAAGAGCAAAGGCAGCCAAAACAGAGCGUGUCCCUCUGCUGUCCUCAGAAGGGCAGCCCUGUGCUGGCCAACAUCUG